AUGUGCUCAAGCUACACCCAGUGCAGCUCACAGUCACUUCUGCUGCUUGCUGACCAAGAUGUAUAACUCUCAACUCCUUCUCCAGCACCAUGUCUGCCUAUAUGUCACCAUGAUGAUAAUGAACUAAACCUCCAAACUUCUCGGUUCUGUGUGCCCUCCUCUUGUUGCCUUGGAUCCUGCCUGCUCAGCUUUUAUCAGGACUAAGGAAGUAUCUUCAGGGAGCUUUUUCUGAAAUCCAGGCUAACAGCAUGAGAUGCUUUUGUGUUGCAAGAUGCUCAGAGGGAACUGGUAAAGGGACCUCUUUGCUGGCUUUCUAUUGCUGUGGUAAAUACCACAGUCAAAAACAACGUGGGGUGGAAAGGGUUAAUUUAAUCUCAAAGCUUACAGUCCAUCAUGGAGGAAACUCAGGGCAGGAAGUCAAGGCAAGAACCUGAAGCCAGGAACUGAAGCAGAGGCCUUGGGGACUUGGUGACUGUUGGCUUUCUCUUAGGGCUCAUGGUUAAGCUACUCUAUACCUCCCAGGACUAUUUGCCCAGGGUGGAGCCACUCAGAGUGGGCGGGGCCUCACACAUCAAUCAUCAAUCAAGAAAAAGCCCCACAGACUUGCCCACAAGUCAAUCUGAUGGAGACAUUUGCUCAGUUGAGGUUCCCUCCUCUGAGAUGACCCCAACUUGUGCCAAGUUGACAGAAAGCAAAGAGUACAGGGAGAAAGUACUUCAGAUGAUACUUUUGAAGGAUUCCUGUAUUUUAAAGCAUGGAAGGCUGUUUACAUCAUGAUGAGCCAAGAAACAGAAAGAACACUUGGGAACAAGAGUUGGGCUAUAACCUUCAAAGCCCAGCCCCAGUGACUCACUUCUGCCAGGUCAUAAGGAUUCAAUGUGGUUUCUAAAUAGUACCACUGGCUGGGACAUAAUCACUCAAAAUGUGGGCUUGCGGUUCAGAGUCAAGCCCUACCACAACUUCAGUGAGCCUUGCCUGAAAUGCCUUCAGAACUGAGAUACAGAGAGUGCCUGAUAGAUCGUUCCAUGAGCUUUAUGUUGAGUCGAGGAUGGAUUGGAUGGGACCAUCCUCAGCUCCUAGAGAAAUAGUGGGAAGGAAUUUGAAUGGAGCCUGGCAAAGACAAUGUCUACCUGGCUGGCCUAAGAAAGAGACCACUAAGUAAGGCACCCCGUUCUCUAGUAGAUGGCUUUCCAGGUCCUGCUCGGGCUCUCCAGUUGCUACACAAAUACAGUGAAGAAGAAAAGUCAACCUAUACUGUACACACGGCAGAAACAGUGCAGCUCAGUGCCCGCACUCUCUACGCAACCAGCAAUCCCAGGUGAAUUCCCACGGUUGACUGAACUCAUUAGUUUGUUCAUAUCUUAGAUACAUUUAUUUGAUCUGCAAAUAUAUAUUAGAAAUCAUGUGAGGAAGGCUGAAGACCGGCAGAGACGUGCAAGAAUUGUCAACAUCAGAACAUUUUCCUUUUGGCUGGAAGAAUGAUAUGAGCAGAGCCCAGGGUUUGCGGCUGUAGUGGGAGGACGGAUUGCAGGUAACAAGAAACAGAUCUAGUCUUCUACUGACCCAUAUUCUGGAGCAACCUAUGGUUAUUAUUGAGAACCACAAGGAAGAAAGGGGAAGAGAUGACUAGGUGCAAGUCUGUAUCUUCUACACUGAAUAUAUUUCCUUCCUGGAUAUGAAUAUAUGUUUUUGGUAAGACCAUUGGUCCCUCAACAGUGGAGUCUGGUGAUUCUGUGAAUCAGAACAUUGUCAAAUGCAUCCAUUCAUGUCAUGGAGAAAGAUGGAGUCUUCAAACAACAAAGCUGUUGGGUUGGUACUGGCCAGAAUUCUAGGACAAUUGUAUCACAUUUGCCUACUAGUAAGCAAAACCUCCAAUCAGUUGAUCCAGCUUUCUCAUGAUAAAAGCAAUCUUUAGGCAAGCAUUGGCUUCAUUACUCAAGGAUGGCAGAACUGAGAGACUCUUCUUGGCAUUUCUCUUGUCACUUAACCUCAGGAUGGUCAGCAGG
ensembl:lincRNA Gm29507 predicted gene 29507